rnacentral:rRNA from 1 species
GCAAGUCGAGCGCACCUUCGGGUGAGCGGCGGACGGGUUAGUAACGCGUGGGAACAUACCCUUUUCUACGGAAUAGCCUCGGGAAACUGAGAGUAAUACCGUAUAAGCCCUUCGGGGGAAAGAUUUAUCGGGAAAGGAUUGGCCCGCGUUAGAUUAGAUAGUUGGUGGGGUAAUGGCCUACCAAGUCUACGAUCUAUAGCUGGUUUUAGAGGAUGAUCAGCAACACUGGGACUGAGACACGGCCCAGACUCCUACGGGAGGCAGCAGUGGGGAAUCUUAGACAAUGGGCGCAAGCCUGAUCUAGCCAUGCCGCGUGUGUGAUGAAGGUCUUAGGAUCGUAAAGCACUUUCGCCAGGGAUGAUAAUGACAGUACCUGGUAAAGAAACCCCGGCUAACUCCGUGCCAGCAGCCGCGGUAAUACGGAGGGGGUUAGCGUUGUUCGGAAUUACUGGGCGUAAAGCGUACGUAGGCGGAUUGGAAAGUUGGGGGUGAAAUC